rnacentral:rRNA from 1 species
UGGGGAAUAUUGCACAAUGGGGGGAAACCCUGAUGCAGCGACGCCGCGUGAAGGAAGAAGUAUCUCGGUAUGUAAACUUCUAUCAGCAGGGAAGAUAAUGACGGUACCUGACUAAGAAGCCCCGGCUAACUACGUGCCAGCAGCCGCGGUAAUACGUAGGGGGCAAGCGUUAUCCGGAUUUACUGGGUGUAAAGGGAGCGUAGACGGAGAGGCAAGUCUGAUGUGAAAGGCAGGGGCUCAACCCCUGGACUGCAUUGGAAACUGUUUUUCUUGAGUGCCGGAGGGGUAAGCGGAAUUCCUAGUGUAGCGGUGAAAUGCGUAGAUAUUAGGAGGAACACCAGUGGCGAAGGCAGCUCACGGGAGCGCAACUGACGCUGAAGCUCGAAAGUGCGGGUAUCGAACAGGAUUAGAUACCCUGGUAGU